GCAAGUCGUGCGAGAAAGUAUCUUCGGAUAUGAGUAGAGCGGCGGACGGGUGAGUAACGCGUAGGAAUCUACCUAGUAGAAGGGGAUAGCCCGGGGAAACCCGGAUUAAUACCGUAUACCUCCUUCGGGAGAAAGAAGGCCUCUCUUUGAAGCUUUCGCUACUAGAUGAGCCUGCGUAAGAUUAGCUUGUUGGUGAGGUAAAGGCUCACCAAGGCGACGAUCUUUAGCCGGCCUGAGAGGGUGAUC
rnacentral:rRNA from 1 species